CGCCGAGCCAGCUGCUAGUGUCCUCUGCUGUUGGCAGUUGUGAGCACCUUCUUCUCCAUAUUUGUGCUUGUUCAGAAAUGUUGGCUAGAAACACCUGAACAUUCAUUUUGGAGUACUCCAAUAGCAGUAGUAAAUAUCACCAUUUCGAUUCAAAUUCAGUUGGCAAUAACUUGUUCACAUUACUGCCAAAUAUUGAUAGAGUUGUUUGCAAAUUCAGGUUGAUGAGAUGAAUGUGGGCAUCAACCGACCUCAGCAGCAGCUCCAGGAAUAGCCUUCACCUGGGUGUGCCGUGUGCAGCACCACCACCACUAGUAGCAGCAGCUCUAGGAUAAGGCCUAGAGGUGGAGUGGAGGAGUGCCGUGUGCAGCAGCAGCACCACCAGUAGUAGCAGCAGCUCGGGAGAGGAGGAUCGCCUGGGCCUAGAAGUGCAGGCGCUUGGACCUGGGUGCAGUCUUGGAGGUGGAGGCGCCAGGAUCUGGGUGGAGG
rnacentral:lncRNA from 1 species